GCCGUGGGCGCGGAGCGGGGCCGGGCCGGGGCCGCCGCCCGUGCGAUUCGUGUCCGUGGCGGCGCCGGGGCCGCGCUGGCGGCCUGGCCGCGGCGUCGGUACAAAGAACAAAACCAGGCAGGCAGACCAGGCAGCCAAGGAUGGUAGUCCAUCUACUGAAGAGGCUCUUAAAAACCACCUUCCCGGAGAGUUCCUCCCUCUCCUCCCGCCCGGGACCCCACUGAGGCAGACCUGCACGCUCGCAUCCAGCUCAGCAAACCCUGUGGAGGGGGCCCGGCGUCCAGGGUGGCCGUUUUCCAGGUGACAAGGAGCAGCAGCAUAACAUGAGGAAAGGAAAACACUUUCAAGCAGGCGGUGCCCUGCAUAGCCUGGUAAUACUGCACUGGGGAGUGGAAAGGGUGCGUUAGUGCUGACCACUUUCUCCAAGAAGCUUGGGGCUUGCCACAGCUUCAGAGACCUCCUUUUUUUUUUUUUUCUUCCUUUUUUUUUUUUUUUUUUUUAAGGAUAAGGAGGGAAAGAGGGGAGAACUUUCAGACUGCAAACUAGAUGCUCAUUCCUUUGGGGCAGUGAAAUGCAUCCCUGAAGGCUCUCAGCCUUCUUGACUCCUAAAGAAACAGUGGGAGCCCCCAGACUUCAUCACCCUCCCCUCUGUAAAGUAACCUGAGGCCUCCGGGAUGGUCAGACGUUUGGAGCUGGUUGAGACAAGCCAUGCACCAUGUGCACAAGAAGCUGAACAAGGGGAAUCUAGAUGCGCUCCUGGGGGUUUUCCCUCUAGUUUAAGAUUGACUUCCCUGCAAGGGAAAAAAACAUCUGAGCUUGUGUCUUCUGCUUGUUCUGCAGGACAAGCAAGAGGCUGGAAAGGUUAAAAUAUAAUUCUGCUGCGUUCUUUGAUGAAAGACGUUCAGCUCUUCUGUAGCCUGAAAGGUCCUGCAGUGGCUUGGUCACAGGAGACAAGAAAUGAACACCAGCAAGGGAAUAAUGUUCUGUUAGACACAGUGCUAUCGGCUGACUUUUAGUACCAUCACCUGAACAUCACCUGAAUCAGUGACUGAUUAGCAGCUGGGACAAUGAUGCCUUUUUCAAAGACUAAGGGCCACAAACCCUGCAAAAAGCUUUCCUCACCAACAAAGGAAGGCAAAGGCAGGAUUAUCCUGAACUGGGACUACACAACCAGUGCGCUCUCUUGAACUGGAAAGGAAGCUGCUGCUUCAAAGGAAGACACAGAAAGCUUACUGAGCAACUGAGCAGAUGGGGGAAGUCUGUCCUACACCAGGUUUCAAAUUGUCAGGAGUUACCUUCAGCUCCAGUAUUGUAUCCUCACCAAUGCUUCAUUAGCAUGAACUCUGGAAACACUUGGUGCCAUAUAAACAUGCACUUCAUGUGGGAAUCUAGCUAAUUCCUUAGCCUGAAUGAUCAUUUAGGGGAAUAAACUCAACAGUCUUAAUUCCCUGCUGUAUGGAAGCUGUUUGGGUUCUAUAUGUUUUGAAUUUGGCAGGUUUUAUUUUACUUGAAUGUUCCCAAAUUAUAAGCUAUAGGAAUUAAUAACUAGUGACAUUCCAAAAAAAAACCAACCAACCCCAACCACAAAAAAACCCACAAAUGGGAGGAGGGGAAAAAGUAAUAAACUGAGAGCCUAGCAAUUUUUCAAGUUUUCUCUCUCCAUCAUCAAAAUGUUAGAAAAGGCAGAAGGGUAUUUUGAAAACUUCCCUUGCAGGAUCAUUUCAGGUGUCUCAGAAAUGUGGAGAUAAGGCUGGGUGAUGGAUGGGGCUCUGCUCUGCAUUUAUUAUGGGUGCUUUUGCUGAGAAUUUUUGCUGUGUCUUGGGGCAAUGAUGGAGGAAAGAGAGAAGCAGGAGCCACGUGAACUCAAGGACUUUCCAUGACUCCUGUGACAGGGGCAUCUCAGGUUUGAAAUAUGCUCAAAAAAUGGGUUGCUCUUAACAGGGCUGGCUAUCACACCUAUUUUGAGGGUAGGUGGAAGAGCUAGAGGAUGAGUGAGAGAUUUGUUCACAUUGCCAAAUGAGAGGGUGGAUUCUUUGCAAUGGAAAGAGUCUGACACAGCUCCUUCCCAGAAAUGCUGACGUUGUCCCUGUGUCUUUGCUUCUCCUGCUGCCGGCAAAACGCAGCAAAUGGCCAAGCUGGCAUCAGCUGAGGGACAAUGAAGUGGUCAAAAGCGGUGAGAGCUGUUGGUUUCCAAUAAAGUCAGAGGAAGUACCUGGCAGGGCAGACCUGUGAGUGGUGAGAUGAAGAAAAGCUUGUUCCUGUGUCUGAAAUAAGAGUGGAAAAGUUAAUUGAAGAAGUCUGGCUUUUGACCUAAGUGAGGAAAUGAAGUCAGGAGCUACCAGGCCACAGAAAGUAAUUUCUGCAGCUUUUGGUCUCGAAGGCUUGUUUAUUUUUGAAGUGUUUAGCAAAACCUUCUGUGGCAUGAACAUGCCAAAAUAGCAGCUUGCACUCACUCCUGAGCCCUCCAGCUGGUGACUCCCAGGGCCGGUCUCUGAGCGAGCCAGCCCACGCAGGUAGAUGCCACAGGAUGAAGAUGGGCUGCCUGUGCCUUCAAAGGAGAAGGGGACCUGGAGAACAUGGCUCAGUGUUUGUGUGACCAGUGCAACCUGGGGACACGUGAGGAGACCACAAGUGCCACAUUGCUUAUUUGCAGUCUGCACCUUGGUGUAGGCCAUGCAGGCCAGGGCUGGUAAUUAUACGUUGCCUGUGCAGAGAGCACGAUGUGAGCUCCUCUACGGCUGGUACGCUGAACAUCUUUGUCCACUCCAGCUCUCCAGUAAGCAAACAGGCCAGUGUUUUAAUUAAACUGAGUGUUCGUGGGCAUCCUGGACCUCCUCUUCAGAUCCUGCAUUCAGAGAAAAGGAAAAAGAAAAAUGUCAGCUCCAAGCAGCUGAACAUUCCCAGAUUGCAGCUGCUGGAACCUUCACCCUGCAAUACAAAGAACAGAUGCUGCAGUGAAAGCCACGAAGUUUCUCCCAGUAUUUUUGAUGGACUUUUCUGGCCACCUCCCCAAAAAGUUUAUUCCUCCAAGUUAAAGCACAAUAAAACAUAAAGAUAAGAUGUCAAGCUACUCUUUAAAUAUUUCAGAAGAUACAGGCUAAGGGCAUGAUGCACCCCAGGAUUCACAUUGCUACUAGAUGUUUGCUGCUUUUGAAGCCUGUUGUUUGAGGAAAAUCUGUACAGCCGUUUUAAAAAUCAUUAGCAACAGAAAAUAACACCGGUUUAUAUUUACACAGCACCGCUGCAGGACCUUCCAGGGACAGGGGACAACAACAACAUAAACUCCAAACAACAAAAGCAGACUGGCAGUGAUGUGUGUGUGCAAGAAAGGAAUGGCAGAUAUGUUUCACAGUGUUCAGGAGGUUGCACAAAUUGCUUCUGAGCCCCAAACAGGCCAAAUCCAACAAGUGGGUCCCAGUGAGUGCCAGUCCCUCGAGCGCAGCCAGUGAGGACUGCAGCUCAUGCUCUUCACCAGCCCUUUCUGCCUGGUGAAUUGACAGGCAAGUGCCAAGUAGUUUACUUUGAAACAUGCAGGGUAAGGGCUGCCUAGAAAUGGUUUGCCCCGAGUUACUGCUUCAGAUAGUGCCUUUCUCCCUAAGCAACCGAGUGUUGAUGCACACACCAUGGUGCCUUUCCCAGGGGUUUUUCAAGCCUGCUCAGAGCUCUCACGCAGUCAGCAUAGCCCAGUAAAGGCAUACAUACAUUAUUUUUCACAUUUCCCUUUUCCUGAAUGUUCCUGAGAUCAAAAGGAAUCAAAUGUCCAUAUAAGUAUUCACAGAGAGCAAUUCAAAACAACUUUUCAAAACAGUCACAGCAAAUUCUUGUUUGUUAUAAAUCACCAGCUGUAGGAACAGGACCUCUGUAAAUUAAAUAUAUGUGAAGAAAACAAACAAAUGAGAUUCUGCUUUGCAAAUGUAGCUAAUCGACAUGGGAACGUUAAUUCACAGGCACAGUGUUAUACAUGUAUAUAUGUGUGCAGGCAUGGCCAAAGUACCAGAAGACGGAGUUUGAGCCUAUCUGGCAUUUGUCGUUUGUGUCACCAGUACACUGAAGAAGCCAUUGCCAACUGCUUCUCAUGUACACCAGCUUAUGCACAACGCAGAAGAGACGGUACAGCUUCAAUCAUGCUGUGGUCAGUCAGAUGCCCUGAGUGUCAAAUAGCAUUAUUAAAAUAUUUUCUGAAAACCA